UCUGAGGAGAACCCCAAAAAAUCCAGAUAUAGCUCACUGAGGAAUUACAGAAGGAAUUCCUAGAGGGAUCCUAGGAUAAAUUUGUGGAGAAACCACGGUAAGAUAUCCACAUAGUCACCUACAAGAAUACCAAAUUGAUUGAGCGCUUACAGCGCCACCCAGCGGCAAAAAUCGAAUUCUGCGUACGUUUUGCCAAGUUUCCCCAUACAAAUUUCAAGCUCAGUGAGCGCCCUCUUAAUCUUAAUCGAAUACGCUCAAAUUUUGAACGUAGUUUCUGGGCGCCCAAAACAACUGACUCAGGAGGUAUGUUUUGCAUUUUUUUCAACAUUUAUUUUGAAAUUUAUUUCCGAUAUUUCCUUGAAACCAUUGAAACCAUUCAUGAAUAAGGUACCACUUCGUUAGGCCGAAGUUCAUAGGGCUGAAUAGGUCAGUAGUGUGCUGGAUCGUUAUGACGCAACAGUAACACUGGCCGAACUACGUUAGGUCGAAGUACAUCAGGUCGAAAGUGUCACUAACCCGAAUGGGUUAUUAGGCCGAAUGACUUUAAGAAGACAUCAACAUAACAUCAGAGAAUGCAAAUAUGGCUGCCACAAUGACCCACUUGGUCCCCUACUCACGUUUUCAAGAGCACAAAUCUUGAAAAUGCGUUAACAAAUGCGCUCGAUUUUGAAAAGCUGCCUCUUUUUGCAAGUGAGCAAAGCCAGGAAAAAAGGGCGGCUUGAUUCGAUGCUUCAUUCGUCAGAUUUGUGCCUCCAAAGUUUGUAUGUAAAAUACAAAUUCUUGAUGUUUCACCGUAAAAAUAAGAACUGGUACAUGGCAGCCAAGUUAAGUGAUUUGAUGAUUAUAUAUUCCAUAAAGAUACUUCGAAAGAAUAGUAUAUUUUUUUUUAAGAAGUUGAAAUAACUUUGUUUCACAAAAUCAAGAUUAUAUAAAAAAUAAUGGAAGAAGUUUUGAAGAAGAAUCAUUUUUUAUAUAUCAACCAAAUUUAACUUACCUGACAAAAGUAUUCAUUCCAUAUUAUACCGAAUUUAUCUACCUGCCUUAUCGGGUCGUGAUGAACAUGUUGAGCUCAUGAAUUGAUUUACCAUGAUGAAAGCGCCAAGUUUAGCAUCUUUCAAAAAAUAUUUCAGAACAUAUUUGUCGCUCUCAAGAACUGCUAGGUACUGUAAAACUCAGACAGGGUACAAACUAAAUUAUAAUAGUUUUCAAAUUAUGCAAAUUUCGUAUAACACUGGAAGAUGCAUGGCAAUAUCAUACACACGAACUAUGUGUUAUAAGGAUAAUAAACUUUUUUACAAAUCUUUACGUUUCUCAUGGCCCAUUUGAAAGUGGUUUCAAUCAUACAAAAUUGCAUGUUUUCAUUAGAAACUCUUAUCAGUUUCAAAAUUGGAAUUCAAUGAUUUUUUUACCAACUUUUAACAUUCACGUAAAAGAAAAAUCAAAAUGUUCACACUACUGACAAACAGACGUAACACUCUUCAAAAAGGUUUGGCACAUGCAUUUAACAAUCAAUUCAAAUUUCAUUUGAUUUGCGCGAUCCUUCCGCCAGAGGUGCUAGUGUUCGAUCGCUUUGACGUUUGCCAGUGUACACGUUGCUGAAUGAUGCAAUCGAAAAUUACAGGCGAUUUGUGUAGUAGUGUCACAGAGAACAGACAUUUAAGCUCGAACAAAAAUACGUCGAAAUCGUGUGUAAAGGAUUUAAGUGAACCUCAACGCCACCAACGGAGACUGCCCCACUUAUAAAGUCGAUUUGACCCCACGAUGGCAGUGAUCACCGUUAAAAUACACUAGCCCACAAAGCGACACGAGCGCCAAACGGCCAAAAACGGCGAGCACUGAAAACAAAUAUGACAACACAACAAUGUAAGUGAUGGGACGCUAGCGCCGCGCAACGGGAGCAUAACCACAUACUCUGAUAUGACCGUUGCAAAGUUUUACACAAGGUAGAAAGCGAAGAUAGACGUCUGUUCUCUGUGGUAGUGUGCGUGUUAGACAAACGUCAAAUCGAAAUUCAACAUGGCCGACAGUGUCUCGCGCGGUUCUACCAACAGUGGGCUCAGGAAAAAGACACCGGGUAAAAGUUUUAGAUGAAUUUCCUCUUAGAGUUACGUCUGAUUGUCUGUGUUCACACCAUGAUCAUUUCGGAAUCAAUUCAAUUAAAAACUAUUAUGCACCUUACCUUUUUAUCCAGUUAAUCCUGCAUAAUUUACCUACCAGACAUACUAAAUACAGAGAUGUGCGUGUGAAAAUUCCGUCUGCUAAUUCGGCAACACUGUUUUUCUUGUUUACAAACUUGCCGGAAAAUUAUGAUCAAACUUUAUCAUGACUUUGUCGUGUUUGAAAUAUUUUUGUU